UAUCAUUUGUAAAGAGGUGAAUCAUGAGUUUCGCUAAUGUUUAUUAUUUUCUUCAAAGACGGAGAUUUUGCCAUUGUCAAGUUUCCUGACGAAGGAGAUGCUGUUGCUGUAGUACGACGCAGCUGGAUACGUGGUGGAAAGUGUAUGCGGUCACAAAAGGCUAAAAAUGUGCAAGAGAUGGUGAGAAGCUGCACUGAGCCAGGUUCAGGAUGGAUUCAAAGCACAUGUGUGGUUCUUGGUAUGUAUGAUAAUUAUAAAGAAGCAAGAAAGAAGCUCACCAAAGCAUAGCUUUGGCAGUUCGAUGUAAUCACACCUAAAUACUUAUAGCACUAGCCUCAUGGAGAUGUUGAUAUUAACCUGCAGAACCAAUGACGAAGCAGCACUUCCAAGUGACCUGGGAGAAGCAAGCAUCAUGGAGGAAACGUCCCACAGGCUGCUGGACAUAGAAGCGGGCAAUGACGAUUCUGACCUGUAAAUUUAGCUGAGUAUUUUCCAUGUUGUAUGCCAUUACUCGUGUACAGUAUUUUGCAAACAAUCUUGCUUUGCACAUUUUCUCGGGUGCCCCACAUUGUACUGAUUAUUUUGUACUUAUUGCUUACUUUUAAAUGGGGCAAACUGCUUCUUUUGAUUUUUUUCGCAUUAUUGGUUCCUUGUGUUGCAGCGGUGUCUUGUGUUUCCUUAGACUACCAAGAGCACUGGCAGUAUAAAACUAUUUUUACUGCAUAAUGUGUGUCCAUCCCCUUGUACCUCACCUUAGCCAGUUGUCAUAUUAGCGGAUCAGGUUACGGCUUGUUUCUCAAGUUUUAUGGCUGCCCCAAACUAGCAAAUGUACCUAACCUGAAUACUAAAAGCCUACCAGCUCUUGCAAGUGUUCUGUAAAGCCUUUCUUAUUUUUAUGCAGGAUACUGAUCAAGAAUGCAGUGGUAAAUACCCUUCUAUGGAGACUCUCCAAUCAAUGGUGUCGACCAGAUGUUGCGUUAUUCCCAUUUACCGCCGCCAAGCUACUUGCAGUCUCCUGCGAUUUCAUGCGAGGGGAUUAAUCGCGACAUUGUCGGAAAUGGUCGAUGACAUUGGCUGAAAGGCCUCAUUUGAAUGUCCUUUGUUGCUGUGUUCGUAGUUGUAUCUAUUCUUGUUUUUAAUUCAGAUCAUUCAAUUAACGUUUUUAGCAUUGUAUUUUCGAUGUUGUCCUUUUCUUGCACAUUUCCUGGUAGGCUUUUGCAAUACGUCAGGAAUGUUAUAUCUUGGCAUAUUACAAGCACCAAUAUAGCUGCCGCAUUUUGAUAUUACGAAUGCCGUGAAAUUUCCUUCUGUCACAAGGUGUGCACAGAUUUUGGUCUGCUUUUGCUAGCCAGAAAGAAGUUCGUCUUUCGGCCCUCUCUUUACCGUGGUCGCCCCACUUCUAGUCAGAUAAAUUUUUUGUAGCAGCUAGCCUGAGCUGUUGACAUGAAAACAGUGUCUAUGUGAUGCCUCAAACUAGUCCUUUCCGCUUUUUGUGAACUGUUAUUGCAUUUAUUUACAUCACAAGCGUGUCGAUCACUGUCAAUAAAAAAAGGGCCUUUAUGAUGUGUGCACAAUCUUUGUACACCUUUUGAAUGCCAAAGUGAACUAGCUUUACAUAUUUUCUUAAAAUUUUAUUUCUGUAAGUUUUUGAGAUGGUAGUUUUGUUCACAAUAUUGUUAUAAAUAUGCCGUCUUGAAAUCUGUUUCUGUGGAAAUAUCAUUGUGCAGUUUACAAAAUGACUGGUUACUCGUAAUGAAAGUGCACAAGGUAUGCACAAGUUAUGUGCAGAGCUUUUGAUUAGUAUACAUGUCUGUCAUAUUGACUGAGAAUUUUGUAAUUCCUCAAAUAAAAUUAUAUUUCAUGCUGAA